GACGAACGCUGGCGGCGUGCCUAAUACAUGCAAGUCGAACGCAGUGGGGACGGGUGAGUAACACGUGGGUAACCUCCCAUCAGAGGGGAUAACACUCGGAAACAGGUGCUAAACCGAUACUCCUGGCUGAACCCGCGUUGCAUUAGCUAGUUGGUGAGGUAACGGCUAACCAAGGCCAGGAUGCAUAGCCGAACUGAGAGGGUGAUCGGCCACAUUGUGACUGAGAAACGGCCCAGACUCCUACGGGAGGCAGCAGUAGGGAAUCUUCGGCAAUGGACGAAAGUCUGACCGAGCAACGCCGCGUGAGUGAAGAAGGUUUUAGGAUCGUAAAACACUGUUGUUAGAGAAGCGGUAACUAAAGAGAAAGCAACGGCUAACUACGUGCCAGCAGACGCGGUAAUAG
rnacentral:rRNA from 1 species